rnacentral:rRNA from 1 species
GACGAACGCUGGCGGCGUGCCUAAUACAUGCAAGUAGAACGCUGAAGAGAGGAGCUUCCUCUUCUUGGAUGAGUUGCGAACGGGUGAGUAACGCGUAGGUAACCUGCCUUGUAGCGGGGGAUAACUAUUGGAAACGAUAGCUAAUACCGCAUAACAAUGGAUGACACAUGUCAUUUAUUUGAAAGGGGCAAUUGCUCCACUACAAGAUGGACCUGCGUUGUAUUAGCUAGUAGGUGAGGUAAUGGCUCACCUAGGCGACGAUACAUAGCCGACCUGAGAGGGUGAUCGGCCACACUGGGACUGAGACACGGCCCAGACUCCUACGGGAGGCAGCAGUAGGGAAUCUUCGGCAAUGGGGGCAACCCUGACCGAGCAACGCCGCGUGAGGGAAGAAGGUUUUCGGAUCGUAAAGCUCGGUUGUAAGUCAAGAACGGGUGUGAGAGUGGAAAGUUCACACUGUGACGGUAGCUUACCAGAAAGGGACGGCUAACUACGUG